CAUAUUGUUUUAACCUGUGCCUUCAUCCACACUGUGGACCUCCCAAAGAAUGGAUCGGGCACUUGGUGCUGUUGAUACAAGGCUUGAUGCAAGGGUACGUGGCUUGAGCGAAAACCCACUGCUGUUCUGUCUGCCAAGAGUCAAAUCCAUCAGCUUAAGAGAUACCCAGAUCUGUUUGCAAUAAUGGAGAGCUGCAAGAGCUUUAUUUGGACGCUGGAGGAAGAAGAAAGCUCUAAUGUGCUGGUGAGAUAUCUCCACGGCUCACUUCUACAUCAAGCUGGUCACCCUGGGCUCCCUGUGCAGUCAAUGGAGAGAG